rnacentral:rRNA from 1 species
UACGAAGGUCCCAAGCGUUAUCCGGAUUUAUUGGGUUUAAAGGGUGCGUAGGCGGGUUGUUAAGUCAGUGGUGAAAGCUCCAUGCCUAACAUGGAAAUUGCCAUUGAUACUGACGAUCUUGAGUACAUUUGAAGUGGGCGGAAUGUGUCAUGUAGCGGUGAAAUGCUUAGAUAUGAACACAGAACACCGAUUGCGUAGGCAGCUCA